rnacentral:misc_RNA from 1 species
UAAUAAGUGUUUUAUGGCACUUUUUAAAUCCAUAUCCACCUUGUGUGCAAUGUCAGUCGAUCUUCUUCAUGGAGAUCGACCAAACAUCAACCUUUAUUUUUUAACUCUUUGUCUGAAAAAUAUUAUGAAGUAAACAAUUCAAAAUA